rnacentral:rRNA from 1 species
AGCGAACGCUGGCGGCGUGGUUAAGGCAUGCAAGUCGAGCGAUCCCGCAAGGGAUAGCGGCAAACGGGUGAGUAACGCGUAGGUAACCUACCCUGAAGUGUGGGAUAGUCCGGCGAAAGUCGGGGUAAUACCACAUGCACUUGCGGACUGCAUGGUUCGCAAGGAAAGAUGGCCUCGACCGAAAGGUUGCUAUCACUUUAGGAGGGACCUGCGUCCCAUCAGCUAGUUGGAGGGUACGCCUACCAAGGCAUUUGACGGGUAGCUAGCCUUAGAGGCGGUUAGCCACACUGGGACUGAGACACUGCCCAGACUCCUACGGGAGGCUGCAGUCGAGAAUAUUU